UGUUAGCCGAUUCUAGUUUUAACUAUUGAUGAUUGUUUUAUCAAACCAAAAAACCGAGGAAGGGUGCAAUUAUCCAGAAGAAAAUAAAUGAUGCUAUUGAUAGUGUUCACGCUUACAUUGUCUUCGAAACAGAGCAAGCUGCCCAGGCUUCUUUGGCCCAUAAUAUGGCUGUGGUUGGAGGAAAUCACAUCCGUGUUGACAGGGCAUGCCCACCUCGCAAGAAACUAAAGGGAGACAAUGCUCCACUCUAUGAUAACAAGAGGAUGGUUUUUGUGGGUAAUCUCCCAUUUGAUGUGAAGGUGAAUUGCUCUUCUUUUUCUUCUUAUUCUCUCUCUCUCGCUCUGGGUAUUUUGCAGAAUGCAGGCAGCCUAUUUGCUUC